rnacentral:rRNA from 1 species
GUCCCGGCGGUAAACGAUGGGCACUAGGUGUCGGAGGUAUCGACCCCUCCGGUGCCGCAGUUAACACAUUAAGUGCCCCGCCUGGGGAGUACGGCCGCAAGGUUGAAACUCAAAGGAAUUGACGGGGGCCCGCACAAGCGGUGGAGUAUGUGGUUUAAUUCGACGCAACGCGAAGAACCUUACCUGGGCUUGACAUGUAACGGACAAGGUUAGAGAUAACCUCUCGUCUUCGGACGUCGUUGCACAGGUGCUGCAUGGCUGUCGU